AAAAAACCAAAAGUUCUAAAUACAAAAACCCUCUUAAAUGCAAACAACAUUAACGAAAAAACAACACUCUUCUCUCAAAACGCCGAACCCCCGUUUCUUCAAUCCCUAAUAUUCAUUUUUCACAUAACCACACCCCUUUUGAAGAACCCUUUUUCACCAAGUUUCGUUUUUGAUCGGAACCCAACUUUCCUCGUCCUCAAUAUUGAAUGCCCACAAUCUCCUUUUCGCAUUUAUAUAUCUCCUCACUUCGUUGUUGAUUUUCCCCUUUCACUCUCCAACUGUGUUGGGAUUCAACCUUUUUCGUUAGGGUUUUGA